rnacentral:miRNA from 1 species
UUCCUUCCGGUUGAUGAGUUCAAUCUUCCUCAUCAACCGGAAGGGAUGCCUUCCGGUUGAUGAAGGAUAUCUUCCUCAUCAACCGGAAGGAA